rnacentral:rRNA from 1 species
CCUACGGGGGGCAGCAGUGGGGAAUAUUGGACAAUGGGGGCAACCCUGAUCCAGCCAUGCCGCGUGUGUGAAGAAGGCCCUCGGGUUGUAAAGCACUUUCAGUGAGGAAGAACGCCUGGUGGUUAAUACCCAUCAGGAAAGACAUCACUCACAGAAGAAGCACCGGCUCACUCCGUGCCAGCAGCCGCGGUAAUACGGAGGGUGCGAGCGUUAAUCGGAAUUACUGGGCGUAAAGCGCGCGUAGGUGGCUUGAUAAGCCGGUUGUGAAAGCCCCGGGCUCAACCUGGGAACGGCAUCCGGAACUGUCAAGCUAGAGUGCAGGAGAGGAAGGUAGAAUUCCCGGUAUAGCGGUGAAAUGCGUAGAGAUCGGGAGGAAUACCAGUGGCGAAGGCGGCCUUCUGGACUGACACUGACACUGAGGUGCGAAAGCGUGGGUAGCAAACAGGAUUAGAUACCCUUGUAGUC